GUUUGAACAGUGGUGGAUUUACUCCCUGGAAGGCAUUGAUGGGGAAAGGUACUGCCAAAAGAGGGGGUGGCUGUGAGCAGCUCCAGACGUGCAGCCCCGGUGCUGGGGAGAGGAUGAGGAAGUGAGGUCUUGCACGGGAGGAUACUCAUCAUCCAGAUCCAGCAAAAUAUAUGUUGAGCUUUACCUGGAAGUGCUCAGCAAGCUACAGGCGUGGCAGUGCCUAAAUCCCUCUCAUCACCGAAUUCCCUGGAAAAGCCCAGGCUUGGGAGCUACAGGUAUGGUUGGACACCGCAAUUAAAAACAUGUGUUAAAGGAGCCUAUGAUGAUUAGAAGCACUGCUGACAUCUACUUCCCAGUUACCUUUUGCUGUUUUCACUCAGUAGCUGGUACCUGUAGACACCGCUUGGAGACCCCACGAGCCAAAGGAGCAAGAAGAUGUUUUCCAGUCUGCCCAGCUGCAGCAAAGUGAUUUUUUCUGGAGGAAGAAGUCAGUCCAAGGUUUUGAUGCAGCCUAAAUGGAGGACCUACAGUCACUGGUUCUACCUGUGCACAUCCCAGUUCACUCCCAGGGCUCAGCAAAGCCUCCUUCACUUCAGAGCUGGGAAAAGAUGCUACUGUUCUAUUAAAGCUAAAAAGAGCAGCUUGUAGUAGAAACUGCAGGAAAAAAGCUUUCUCUUCUCCCCCCCUCCCCAUCAUCCACCCCGUGGGUUCUGCUGCUCACCCAUGUUUUCCCAAGCGUUUUCUCUGCCUUAUUUUCAUGGAGUCAAGGAAGCAACUGGCUCUUUGGGAUUUACAUGCCUUUGAGGUAAAGGCAGAGCAGAUUUGAGAGAUGACUCUUCUCUGCUGCCUGCUUCGUGGCUGGCCCUACAAACCAUGGGAGAGGCAUUUUGCAGCUCAAACUUUGCAGCUUGUUCACACUGCUGGCUGAGCUGACACCUUUCCUUUGAAAUGGAGAACAUGACAAGCAUUUUUUUGCCCAAUGUCUUGUGUCUUAAUCCAAUUUUUGCAGGGAAUUAAAGAAUUUUGUGGGCA